rnacentral:lncRNA from 1 species
AGUGCCUUCACCUUUUAGUCCUAGAAAGUUUCUUCCAGCCUAGAACUUCUGUGACUCCAGGCCUUGGUGACAACUCUGAGUAGUAGGUAGGGCUGGUGUCCCUGUUUUAAAGAUAGGAAACAGUAAGUAAGUGGUAGAGUUGGGCCAGUGUUCUCCUUCCUCUGUGGGGCCCAGGCUGAGCCCUGUUGGUCCUCAGCAUAGCACUUCUUACAGCACUUUGAAACUGGGCAAGCCCAUGGGCUCAGGAGCAGUCUCUGUCUUGUUCAUAGUUCUAUCGCUGAUGCUUAGUAGAUGCACAAAAAUAUGAGAGCUGAAAAGUUAAAAUUUGUAUUCUCAAUUUAGGAGUCUGCAUAUAGACAUCUAGUAUAGGGGUUGGUAAAAAUUAAGACAUUAUGGAGUGUCUACAAGGACCCAUGGUGGACAGAGUUGCCUGUCUCCACAUAGAUCCUUAUCCCAAGGGCUUCACCCACACUGGCCAGAUGCCCAGUGUUUUCUGUUUCCCCAUUAAACUCCAGUUUAUGACUCCAGUUUAAGAUAUUCUAUGAUGUCUAUAACUGCUUAAGCUGGCACGUAUUUUUACUCUUCAUGUUUAGGGGGAAAAAAAAGGCUGUACAAGAGAUAAGGCAGUGGUUCUCAGCUGGGGACAUUUGGCAAUGUCUGGAGAUAGUGUUGGUUGUCACAACUGGGGGCAGCAUCUAGUGGGUAGAGUCCAGGGAUGCUGCUGGCCAUGCUACAAUGUGCAGGACUGCCCGCACAACAAAGAACUCCCUGGCCCCAAGGGUUGACAGUCUUAAGGGUGAGACUAGGUGGGACCUGUUGUGUAUAAGGAGGACAGAGAGCAUCUGGGAGUCAUAGUGAGCCAAUGGUUCAUAAAUAGUGGUGUAGAAUUACAGGAAUGAAGCCACAUUGCAAUCCAUGGAGAUAUGCACUUGAUCACUGUUUAUCUGCUGAUUGCCAUGAUUUGGGCCCUAAAGCUGGAGUAGGUGUUGGAAAAUGUAGAAAGGCUGCAGUUUACUGAAGGGUUGAGGCCAGCAGUCAAGGCCAUCGGAGGAUUGGGGCCAUUUGGCUCACAGAGUGAGGUGGGGA